UACGUAGGGGGCUAGCGUUGUUCGGAAUCACUGGGCGUAAAGCGCACGUAGGCGGAUCGUUAAGUCGGGGGUGAAAUCCCAGGGCUCAACCCUGGAACUGCCUUCGAUACUGGCGAUCUUCGAGUCCGGGAGAGGUGAGUGGAACUCCGAGUGUAGAGGUGAAAUUCGUAGAUAUUCGGAAGAACACCAGUGGCGAAGGCGGCUCACUGGCCCGGUACUGACGCUGAGGUGCGAAAGCGUGGGGAGCAAACAGG
rnacentral:rRNA from 1 species